UUUGCAAUCCGGGGUAUUGCUAGGGCUGUGACUCCAUUUGCGCUGCCAGCCGGAGGGACAUCAGUCACGUGACCGCGUUCUGCCUGCAGGACCCGCUGUGAGCUCCUCCGAGCCAGGCUUCUACCUCCGCCUCCCUCGCUUUAUUCCCGGAUGAGAGUUUCUCUGCAUAAGCUCUUUUUUUGCCUGCUGCCACUCAUGUAAGACGUGACUUGCUCCUCCUUGCCUUCCACCACGAUUGUGAGGCUUCCCCAGCCAACCGGAACUAGAGCUGUCUUCCCCUUCCCCCAUGUGAGGAUGUAGCCACAAGGUACCAUCUACGGAGCACAGAACAAGCCCUCAGCAGACACCGAAUCUGCCAGUGCCUUGAGCUUGGACUUCCCAGACUACAGAACUAUGAGAAAUGAGUUUCUAUUACUUAUAAAUUAUGCAGUCUAAGGAAUUGUGUGAUAGCAGCCAGACAGACUAAGACAUUCUGGUUCACAGGACCUUAUCAACAACUCAGACAUCCCCAAACUGAAAACUGGACCUUAUUUAUUAACGUACUCAGUUUUUAAACUUGUCCUGAAUGGAUGUGAGGUUAUUUAUCAUCUUUAAAAAAAAAAUUUAUUUAGUGUGAAUAUCCAUACAUUUCACUGCUGCAAUAUUGUGUUUGAUACUGAGGUGUUGCUGCAGGCCCCACUGGAGUACCAUGAGAAUCAUGGCCCAUAUUACCUUUCUAAAAUCUAAUAAAUCCUGAAAUCUAAAAC